AGCACGCCGCGUGCGAAGAAGGUUUUCGGAUCGUAAAGCUCUGUUGUUGGUGAAGAAGGAUAGAGGUAGUAACUGGCCUUUAUUUGACGGUAAUCAACCAGGAAGUCACGGCUAACUACGUGCCAGCAGCCGCGGUAAUACGUAGGUGGCAAGCGUUGUCCGGAUUUAUUGGGCGUAAAGCGAGCGCAGGCGGAGAAAUAAGUCUGAUGUGAAAGCCCUCGGCUUAACCGGGGAAUUGCAUCGGAAACUGUUUUUCUUGAGUGCAGAAGAGGAGAGUGGAACUCCAUGUGUAGCGGUGAAAUC
rnacentral:rRNA from 1 species